AGGGAAUCUUCCGCAAUGGGCGAAAGCCUGACGGAGCAACGCCGCGUGAGUGAUGAAGGUCUUCGGAUCGUAAAACUCUGUUAUUAGGGAAGAACAAAUGUGUAAGUAACUAUGCACGUCUUGACGGUACCUAAUCAGAAAGCCACGGCUAACUACGUGCCAGCAGCCGCGGUAAUACGUAGGUGGCAAGCGUUAUCCGGAAUUAUUGGGCGUAAAGCGCGCGUAGGCGGUUUUUUAAGUCUGAUGUGAAAGCCCACGGCUCAACCGUGGAGGGUCAUUGGAAACUGGAAAACUUGAGUGCAGAAGAGGAAAGUGGAAUUCCAUGUGUAGCGGUGAAAUGCGCAGAGAUAUGGAGGAACACCAGUGGCGAAGGCGACUUUCUGGUCUGUAACUGACGCUGAUGUGCGAAAGCGUGGGGAUCAAACAGGAUUAGAUACCCUGGUAGUCCACGCCGUAAACGAUGAGUGCUAAGUGUUAGGGGGUCUCCGCCCCUUAGUGCUGCAGCUAACGCAUUAAGCACUCCGCCUGGGGAGUACGACCGCAAGGUUG
rnacentral:rRNA from 1 species